rnacentral:rRNA from 1 species
GGACGAUAAUGACGGUACUUUAGGAGGAAGCUCCGGCUAACUACGUGCCAGCAGCCGCGGUAAUACGUAGGGAGCGAGCGUUGUCCGGAAUUACUGGGUGUAAAGGGAGCGUAGGCGGGACGGCAAGUCAGAUGUGAAAACCAUGGGCUCAACCCAUGGACUGCAUUUGAAACUGUUGUUCUUGAGUGAAGUAGAGGUAAGCGGAAAUCCUGGUGUAGCGGUGAAAUGCGUAGAUAUCAGGAGGAACACCGGUGGCGAAGGCGGCUUACUGGGCUUUAACUGACGCUGAGGCUCGAAAGCGUGGGUAGCAAACAGGAUUAGAUACCCUGGUAGUCCACGCUGUAAACGAUGAUUACUAGGUGUGGGGGGACUGACCCCUUCCGUGCCGCAGUUAACACAAUAAGUAAUCCACCUGGGGAGUACGGCCGCAAGGUUGAAACUCAAAGGAAUUGACGGGGGCCCGCACAAGCAGUGGAGUAUGUGGUUUAAUUCGAAGCAACGCGAAGAACCUUACCAGGUCUUGACAUCGUAUGCAUAUCUAAGAGAUUAGAGAAAUCCCUUCGGGGACAUAUAGACAGGUGGUGCAUGGUUGUCGUCAGCUCGUGUCGUGAGAUGUUGGGUUAAGUCCCGCAACGAGCGCAACCCUUACCAUUAGUUGCUACGCAAGAGCACUCUAAUGGGACUGCCGUUGACAAAACGGAGGAAGGUGGGGAUGACGUCAAAUCAUCAUGCCCCUUAUGACCUGGGCUACACACGUACUACAAUGGCAAUUAACAAAGAGCAGCGAAGCGGUGACGUGGAGCGAAUCUCCAAAAAUUGUCCCAGUUCAGAUUGC